rnacentral:rRNA from 1 species
CCCUUAGAUGUUCGGGGCCGCACGCGCGCUACACUGAAUGGAUCAACGUGCCUUUCCCGAGGCUGAAAAGUCGAGGUAAUCCGUUGAACCCCAUUCGUGACGGGGAUAGGAGCUUGCAAUUAUUCUCCUUGAACGAGGAAUUCCCAGUAAGCGCGAGUCAUCAGCUCGCGUUGAUUACGUCCCUGCCCUUUGUACACACCGCCCGUCGCUACUACCGAUCGGAUUGUCCUGUGAAUUUCUAGGAGAGUUGAGGUCCUGGCGCUUCGGUGUCGGCGACCUCAUGCUUGAAUUGAAUUGAACUGGACUCCCUAGAGGAAGUAAAAGUCGUAACA